rnacentral:rRNA from 1 species
GGGGUAAACGGACAGAGCCCGUGAAUCCGGGCGACGGAAUUCAGAAUCGACGGCGUUCGCGCGUCGUCGGUUCGAUAUUUCCGCCGCCGCCAAUUCAACGGACGUCGCGACCCGUUCGGUGUCGGUCUGCAGGAGACGUGCGAAAGUUCGUGAGCCUCGGCUGGGUUUCGGCUCGGUUGGUGUUCGCGAGUGCGCGUUUUUUUUCUGGCCGACUCGCCGGACGGUAAGCAAAGCGGUGGACGCGGCGGCCUCUCGUUAGCGCCGUCGCGUUACCGGUCUGCGACGAAUCUUC